AUGGCGCCGGGGUCUUCGACUCCGGCCAGCGCACGCGCCUCCGGUGAUCACCGGAGGGUGGGUGGGCGAUUCUGGGCUCUUGCAGAUGCUGACAGCGGAGAUGACGAGGACGACGGCGGGCGCUCCGGCGGCUCGACGGCCUACUCGCCAACUCCCUCAGAUACGAUCUGUGAAGCUUUUACUACGGGCUACGAUGAGGAUGAGGUGGCCGAGAUCGUGGAGACGGUCGUCCCUCCCGAGGAUCCGGCGAGGAACGGCUUGCGUCCCGGAGAGAAGUUGGAGCUGCUCCGGCGUUUCGUCCAUCGGAGGACGGCGGCGACCGCAUCUCGGCCAUGGAAGGGCCCUAUUCCCAAGGAUGCUGUGGAUACGAGUCCUGGGGAUCUUGGGGUUCCAGCACUUUCGGUCUGGGGGAGGAGGAGGUGA
rnacentral:rRNA from 1 species